CUUGAAUGUUCCCUAGCCUCGUCGGGCUAGUUCGUUACUAUAUGAAUGUAUAUUUAUACGAUACAGAUAAUCCAUAGAUUACAUAUUAAACUAGAUGAGAUUUAACACUUGAUCUGUUCAUUUAUCUCCGUGGCGGUCACUUCGACAGUCGACACGUACCGAUCCUCCAACCCUCUCCCCCCUCCCCCUCUCUCUUCUCUAUCUCUCUCGUGCCAAUUCAAUGUGCUGGAAGUGGAAACUGCAAAAUCAACAUGCAUUUCAUCCAUGGAAGCCCCGUUCAAUCGGGCGACAAGCUCUAGAGAUGGAGAUGACUCUCACCUCAUUUCACAGAGAGAGAGAGAGAGAGAGAGAGAGAGAGAGAGAGAAGCUUUCAUGCGUCGUCGUACCCUGCUGCGGCUGGACUGGAUUUGGGUCUGCUCAGAACUAAUUCAAAGCCAUCGCUGUCUUCUGGGUUGGCCCGAUGAGAAGCAUCUGCAGCUUCUAUAAUCUUGCUUAAUUGAAAGCAAAAGAGACGUAGUCAAGCGUAUGAAAACUCUACCAAGGUGGAAGGUCUUGGACAAAAAGCGACACUUAAGCGAACAUUGGCCUCAGGGCCUCAGGUCUUCAAACUUUAAGAGUAAACAAGUCAUAUCUUAUCAUCGGGGGUUUCACAUGCCCUCUGACACACAUUAUUUUAUGCUAUGAGAGGCUAUAAGUUGGAAAAGGUAAUUCAGUUCUAGCCUUUUUGUCCGCUUGUGAGUUAGUUCUUAAUCUGGUUUUUAUGUACUCCGGUUUUUAUGUACUCCCUAACCAUGGCUCCAUUUAGCUAUCUUGAACAUGGCCCAAUUAAGUUCUAGCAUGGUUUUGUUGGGUUGCAUUACAGGCUUUUAUUCGGUUUCCGAGUCCAUGAUGGAUCAAGGAUAGGAAACGAUACUUAAAUUGUUCAAAUUUUUUUAUGUAUGGCAAUUGCAUGUACUUACAAUUUUCUAUUGCAUGGAAGCAAUGGAAUGGGACGUUUGACAUGUUCAGUGAUAUCUUGUUUUGCAUUUGUUAUUGUGCCAUUUACCUGUUAUCUCUCAUCACCUAUUUAUCGCCAGAUUGUUUUGAUGCUCAUUCCGCAUUGUCUCUGUUUAAGAAACCGUCUUUGUCUUGCUACUUCUGAUGUUAUUGUGUAGGAACAUAGGGUCAUGAACUGCGUAGUUUACAACCAAUAUUUGAAACCGAGGGAGGAGUGGAAGAUUUUAUGCUUUUAAUGUAAUGAUUGGACCCCUUUUGUGUGGCUUUUUGAGUGAUUAUUGUUCUGGCCACAGUUACAUGGUGGCUGGUCCAAUUUGUAUGGUUAAUCUGGCAAAUGAUGGUCAAGAUAUUGGCGCAACAUAUUACAGCUGCAAUGUAGGUAUUGAGCAUUUAGAAUUUCAGUGAAUUGGAUGUAAGUUUCCAACUGCAGGAUGUUCGGCCCAUAUUGUCAUGGUAGAAUUCUGCCUUUUUGUUUUUCGGCUUCCUCUAGCUUCAGAAAUCUCACUGUCUGCUCACUAAUGUUGAAACCAUGAAUACACAUUUGCAUGAACAUUACUCCUUCCUGAUUUAGGUGAAAAUGGUUUGGUGAGCAUUUAUGUGAUGGAUCCAUUGGACUGCUGCUUGGCUCAUUGAUAUUGUUGAACAUCAUGAAAGGGCCCUUGACUCUGUUUGAUUGGGUGGAUAGGGAACGUCAAUGGGUCUGUUAAAUUUGCUUAUGCUUUAUUAAUGAUCUCAGAUGCAAAUCCGUAGCCAAUUUGUUUUAAGGUGUUCUUGGUUUUAUGCAUAAGCUCUUGUUUCUGCAGUCAUUUGGAGUAGUUGAUCUAGUUCACCCUAAUGGACCAGCUUGUGAGGCGACUUCACUGCCUUGCUUUAUUAAUGCGAUGCUCAUUCUUAAAUUCAAAUGCCUAAUACAGGACGGAAUCUAACAGUGCUCCUGAUCCAUUUGUGCUUCGCUCCGUACUGUAACCCGUCCUCCAGUGCCCGUAUACGCCAUCUCAGUGGGCUGGAGAACCCUGUAUAGGCGAAUCUCAUCGAUUUUAUGGUUGAGCUUUCUUUGCAGGUGGUUUGUUGCAUAUGAUUCCGUUGAAAUCUGCUUAACAAAAGUACAGGUUUUGCGUAAUCUCUUUUCUUUUCCUGGGUUACAAUCGCAUUCAGGAAUUUCUUAUUGCAGAAGGAACCACCUCGAGUGGAAGAUGUUACGCUGCUCGGACACUGGGAUCAUGGCUGUUGGUCGGUUGGACCUCUCAAAUCUGGCCUGUUCUUGGAGUUUGAAGUGAAUGGAUAGCUAACUUUUACAUGUCGAAUUGAUCCAUCUCCUUCGGUGUGUAUCUAAUGGCUUGUAAUUCUUUCAUUUGUAGUUC